GAGUGCAUGUGGGAGUGUGUGUCGGACAGACAGAGAGUGAGAAGCAGAAAGCUAGAGAGAUACAAGGUGAGGAGUGAGGUUUAAUUUGAGACAUUAAAGGAGCAUCUCAUUCACUUCCCUUCUUUGUUGCCAUGACAA